rnacentral:rRNA from 1 species
UACGGAGGAUGCAAGUGUUAUCCGGAUUCAUUGGGUUUAAAGGGUGCGCAGGUUGGUUUUUAAGUCAGAGGUGAAAUGCUGCCGCUUAACGGUAGAAUUGUUAUUGAUAUUGACACCCUUGAAUAUGGUUGAUGCACUUGGAAUGUGUUGUGUAUCGAUGAAAUGCAUACCAUAUGACACAGAACACCGAUUGCGAAGGCAGCUUACUAAACCAUUUAUUGACGCUGAGGCACGAAAGCGUGGGGAGCGAACAGGAUUAGAUACCCUGGUAGUCCACGCUGUAAACGAUGUUCACUCGCUGUCUGCGAUACACAGUAGGCGGCUGAGCGAAAGCAUUAAGUGAACCACCUGGGGAGUACGAUCGCAAGGUUGAAACUCAAAGGAAUUGACGGGGGCCCGCACAAGCGGAGGAACAUGUGGUUUAAUUCGAUGAUACGCGAGGAACCUUACCUGGGCUUAAAUGUAGAUUGCAUGGGGUAGAAAUAUCCCUUCCCUUCGGGGCUAUUUACAAGGUGCUGCAUGGUUGUCGUCAGCUCGUGCCGUGAGGUGUCGGGUUAAGUCCCAUAACGAGCGCAACCCUUACCGUUAGUUGCCAUCGGGUCAAGCCGGGGACUCUAGCGGGACUGCCACCGUAAGGUGAGAGGAAGGUGGGGAUGAUGUCAAAUCAGCACGGCCCUUAUGUCCAGGGCUACACACGUGUUACAAUGGCAGGUACAAAGGGCAGCUACCGGGUGACCGGAUGCUAAUCCCAAAAGCCUGUCCCAGUUCGGAUUGGAGUCUGCAACCCGACUCCAUGAAGUUGGAUUCGCUAGUAAUCGCGCAUCAGCCAUGGCGCGGUGAAUACGUUUCCGGGCCU